GCCGGCGUAGCUCAGCAGGCAGAGCGAGGCACUCGUAAUGCCUAGGUCGUGGGUUCAAGUCCCACCGCCGGCU
rnacentral:tRNA from 1 species